CUUCACUUCAGUUUGCUACAGUUAAAGCUGUUCUAAGAAUAUAUCCUUGUUCUACAGAUAAGAAAAGGUCAAAUAGAGAAAGGACAGAAAGAAACAACAUUGAUUGUGCUUAUAAAAGCUAUAAGCAAGGAUUUUAAAAAAUGUUAGGAGAAAACUGAAGAGGGAAUCUUUUAAGGCCUGCUUGAGGAGCCCAGUGGAUUGGAAAUGAUUAAAAACAAUGUUACUACCGAACUGAGGAAGGGGUCUUUCAAUGCCUGCUUGAGGAGCCAACUCUCAGUCCCUCUGGAUCAGUUCAGGAUUCAAGAGGCGCCUUUUGGAUCCCUGGCGGCUCACUCUGCACACCCUUUCCCCUGCCAUCUCUCCUUUGAAGACAAGCCUAGAAGCAGACCAUAGGAUUGAAUGAGGAAGAGGAGGAGGAAGCAAAGAGUCCAGGAAAGGAUGGGAAGUAAGCAGGAAAAAAUGGAGGAAAGGAAGGAGGCUGCAGCUGCAUGUAUCCUGGGACUGGGACCAGGAGGCACCUGAGUCUCACCAGAAGAGCAGAUUGGCACAGAAGAAACCUCCCAGUUUCAGAACAUUAGAAUAUUAAAAUAUAUUGCAGAAUCACAUAUCCUGAAUAAAAUAUUCAAAGCCAUCACUUAUGCCUGAUACUGCUCUCUGGUGCAACACAUCAGACAUAAGUGAUGGUGUUGAAUAUGUAGGACUGUAUAUUGUACUUUUAUUCCAGUAUAGGCCUGAAGGCAAGUCUUUACUUUUCUAAAUAAAUAAAUAACUAUGUAAACCACUCCAGAAGCCUUUGUUUGCUUAACAGUGGCAUAAAAUAAUGGUUGGCACCCUGCAUUGCAGUUAUGGAUUUGUUACCUAAAGUUACAGAUUUGUAACUGUUCCUUACCUAUCUAUACUAUAUAUUUACAAUUGUGACACUCUUGUCAGAUUGCAAAUACCCUUAGAACCCACCUUAAACUCAAAGGAUUUGCUUUGUGUGACAGAGGUCAGUGGACAUACCCAGAGGUAGCUGUGUUAGCCUUAUGGCAAAGUACAAUAACAAUUCAAAAUCCACAAAACAGUCAUACCUUUAUUGUGCCAGUCAAAAUGCACAAUAGAUAUGUUUCAAGCUUUUGAAACCCCACUGGGUUGUUUAUUAGGUCAAAAAGUUAAAAAUCAUAUAGGAGAAAAAAAAUAUGAUAAUGGGGCUGUACAGACCAGCAAGAAACACUGGCAUGGUGUGGAAUGGGGAUAUGGUGAUCACCUAGUUCCCACCCUGAUUUUCCUCCCAAAGUGGCAUCAUGCCACCCACUUGACCAGAUGGUGGGCAGUGUCAUGACAUUUCUGCAGCACAGCAUUUACACACAUUGUGCUGAAGAAACAUGGAAGAGCCACGGUGGCAAGGGAGACUCCCCUCCCAAAAAAGAGCCACAUUUUGUUUCUUCUUUUGGGGCUGGAAAAAUGCCCUGCUCUAGCAAGCAAAGGGUCAGUGCAUAGCCACUCCUUUAAGACCAUCUGUUUUUGGCCAAUGUUAGCCAUAGGCUUGCAUUCUGUCAAGAUAUUGGGGAUUCCAGGAAAUCAACUUUAAAUCCCUUAGCAGCACAAAAAUCUACUGCCUUUGGGAUCCAGUUUCUCUCCAUCCUUUGUGAGGCUAGCCCCUUUGUUAGGUAGAGGUCGGUGGUGCAGUCAGAAUAACACAACUAGCCUCCUUCCACUCUUGAGCCAAAGUGUGACAAUUGGAAGCUUCUGCGUCUUAUGCUGUGGCUUGUGGGUUGGAGGAAGAUCAUCUUACCAUGGCAUGGGGAGGGAGGGAGCUAGCCACAUCAUUCUAAA